AUGGUAUCAAGUUUUCGUGUUUCUGAACUUCAAGUAUUGUUGGGCUUUGCUGGGCGUAAUAAAAGUGGACGGAAACAUGACCUCCUAAUGAGGGCUCUGCACUUACUGAAGAGUGGCUGCAGCCCAGCAGUGCAGAUAAAAAUCCGAGAACUCUAUAGGCGUCGGUACCCAAGGACGAUUGAAGGACUUUCAGACUUAUCAGCUAUAAAGCCUGCGGUUUUCAAUCUGGAUAGCAGUUCUUCUCCCGUGGAGCCUGACCUGGCUGUUGCUGGCAUUCACCCGCUCCCUUCGACUUCGGUCACACCUCAGUCUCCGUCCUCACCCGUCAGCUCCGUGCUCCUUCAGGACACUAAGGCCCAUUUUGAGAUGCAGCAGCCAUCACCUCCCAUCCCACCUGUCCAUCCCGACGUCCAGCUGAAGAGCUUGCCUUUUUAUGAUGUGCUUGAUGUACUCAUAAAGCCUACAAGUCUAGUACAGAGCAGUAUUCAGCGAUUCCAAGAAAAAUUUUUUAUCUUUGCUUUGACACCUCAGCAGGUCAGAGAAAUCUGUAUUUCCAGGGACUUCUUGCCGGGGGGCAGGAGAGAUUACACCGUCCAGGUUCAGCUAAGGUUAUGCCUAGCAGAGACCAGCUGUCCUCAAGAAGAUAAUUACCCUAAUAGUUUGUGCAUUAAAGUGAAUGGGAAGCUGUUUCCAUUGCCGGGAUAUGCUCCACCACCGAAAAAUGGGAUCGAACAGAAGCGACCUGGGCGCCCCUUGAAUAUAACCUCUCUAGUUAGGUUGUCAUCAGCAGUGCCGAACCAGAUUUCCAUUUCCUGGGCUUCUGAAAUUGGAAAGAGUUACUCCAUGUCUGUGUAUCUCGUUCGUCAGCUCACUUCAGCUAUGCUUUUGCAGAGGCUAAAAAUGAAAGGGAUCAGAAACCCUGAUCAUUCCAGAGCGCUAAUUAAAGAAAAACUAACAGCAGAUCCUGACAGUGAGAUUGCCACCACCAGUCUGCGGGUGUCUCUGAUGUGCCCUCUGGGCAAAAUGAGACUGACAAUCCCGUGCCGGGCUGUCACUUGCACACACCUGCAGUGUUUUGAUGCUGCUCUCUAUCUCCAAAUGAAUGAAAAGAAGCCCACGUGGAUCUGUCCUGUCUGUGACAAAAAGGCAGCUUAUGAGAGCCUGAUACUGGACGGACUCUUUAUGGAAAUCCUUAAUGAAUGUUCAGAUGUGGAUGAGAUUAAAUUCCAGGAAGAUGGUUCCUGGUGCCCUAUGAGGCCUAAAAAGGAUGCUGUUAAAGUCUCAAGUCCACAGUGCACCAAAAUAGAAAGUUCCAGUGUUGUUAGCAAACCGUGUUCUGUGACGGUGGCCAGUGAGGUAAACAAGAAGAAAGUUGAUGUUAUUGACUUGACUAUAGAAAGCUCUUCUGAUGAAGAGGAAGAUCCUCCAGCCAAAAGGAAGUGCAUAUUCAUGUCUGAAACGCAAGGAAGCCCAACCAAAGGGGUUCUUAUGUAUCAGCCAUCCUCUGUCAGAGUGCCCAGUGUGACGACGGUUGAUACAGCUGCUAUUCCUCCGUCGUUAACAGACUACCCUGUGCCAUUCCACCACCCACCAAUGUCCAGCAUUUCCUCAGACUUGCCAGACAAACCCUAAAUGCCUAUGAUGUAUUCUUCAACACUGCUGCUAAAUAUCAGACAAAAGGUGGGGAUACUGAUUGUUUUCUAUCCUGGCUCCUUGAAAAGAACGCUGUGUGUAGGGACUCUGGGGGUUCUCUGUCGGCUGUAGUGAACCUAGAGCCCAGGAAAUGGUGACUUGUGACAGCAGGUGUCACGUGGGCCUCCUGUCCUUCCCUGCCCCGCUCCAUUGCCUGUCUCCAUUUCUCCCCUGCCGCAUCUCUGGGUUUUUUUUCAUCUUCUUUCAGUUUGGCACUGGGAUGGAUAUCAUUCCCCUCGUUUCUCUGUCCGUUUUGGUUGCCUCACUGCUCCCUCCCUCCACUUCUCCCUUGUUAAGAAAUUCAGUUUCUUUCCAAAUUGGUUAGAAGACUAAGCUGAGAGAAUGGAAGUCUAGAACUUUGUUCAUCUCUGCCAACUGAAGUUCUAGCGUGCGUAUGAACAAAAGCUGUGAAUUCUGUAAAAGCAGCUGAUCUUACAUCUCCUUUAAAAUUUUUCUUUAAUUUUCUGUAAUGGAGAAAAGUAGAGAUGCCUCUGGCUGAAACAGAUCUAUGCUAACAAGAGAGGGAGGGAGAAAGCUUACCGUUUCUUUCUGUUGCCAUAGCAAACACAAGGCCAAGAUUUUGAAAUAGAAAUGGCUGCGAUUUCUCAUUGAUUUUGUGUUUCUUAAACAUCUUGCCCUAAAUGCUUACGUGCUAAUGGCAUAGAGGAUGGGCGCUGGUUGUCACUGCUCAUAGAGGAUUACCUUGAACUACUUGUAGUUUCCUCUUCUUCAUUCCUUUUAUUUGUCUAGACGCAAAACGGGGAUGAUAUUAGAAAUGUUUCCUUAUUGGCUGCCUAUGGGUGGAGGAAGAGACCUGCUGCUUGUUUUUGGACUUGUGCAUGUUGUGACUUUACUUCAUUCCAGCAUCCUUAAUGUGAUGACACUCUUCAUGUCCCAGUUUGGCCAAGUCAGGUACAAUAUGCAGUGAAACUUGUGUUAUGAACAACAGCUCCAAAUGGCAACCUCCAUCUAAGCAACCACAUUGAACCACCCUGCAAUAUCCAGUGAAUAAUACAUCAUUGUCAUCCUCAUUCUUAAAAGAGCCACUUGUACUAGAAAACGUGUUUUGCUGCUGCCUGAAGUCGUUGAGAGUGGUGUCACAGUGGUAUAUUUCAUUUAGAAACUGUAUAGCAAUUGCAAAAAUCAGUUCUACGACAACAGCAGAAAUUCCUUAAACUUGUUGUGUGUGAAGAGAAGGAAGACACAUCAGUUUAUUAUCCCUCUUUUCUUUCUAGGUUUGGAUUUCCUUUCACUAAUUCCAGUUGAAUCACAGUCUCACCUCAACCUUAACAAGCAACACGCCUGGCAGCAUCAUCACAUCGACCAGUCACCAC